CCAGCCUCAGCAUCCUUACUCACCAUGACCUCUCCAGGUUUGCCAGGCUCUCCAGGUUCUCCCUAAAAUGGGGAGAGUUAUGGGAUGAAGAUGGGGGUCCCCUAGGACAUAGGGUCCCUUCCCAUGUGACAAUAUGGUCAUAUUCCCCAACAUCUUAGAGAUCUGGGGCAGGGGCUCAGUACCCGGAAUGGGGGGCACAGGGGCAGCCUUAUGAGGAUUUAUUUAGCCUGGCUUGAGCUCAGGUUGAGUUACCUUCUCUCCCCUUCGACCAGCUGGUCCUGGAGGUCCCUGUGAAGAGACAAAGCAGCUCUUCUCAGGGAAAGGAGGGAGAAAGGGAGCCCCAGCCCCCAUCUCCCAUCUUCCUUUCCCUCUCCCCUCCACCACGGCCUUUCCCCAUCUUUUUCCAUCCCUUCUCUCUCAUCCCCCAUAUUCACCUCCGGACCCUCAGCUCCAGGUCUCCCUGACAAGCCAGGCUCCCCCUGUUGAGAGACACAGACCCUAAGGAGGGGUUCUUCCUCCCAUGUGCCCCUGGGGCUACAGCCAGACGGGCAGGGGAUGAAAAUAUCAAGUUCACAAGCUGCUCCCCUGAACGUAUUCUCCUGUGUUCGCUCCUCUAGACCGAGUGUUCCAGGCACUGGGUCCAUCCCAUAAUCUCUGUUCUAGAAUCUGUCCAGGGUCGGGAUGCUCCUAGGUUCUCUUCCCAAUCUGGUCUGCCAUCAUACAUGGCCUCCUCUUCAGGCCUAUCUGGUGUGUCCUAUGAGCACCCUUCAGAGUCUGUGGCUCAUGUGGACUACUCAGAAGGGAGUCGCUGCCAUAAGAAUACAUUGGAAGGAAGAAGAAAAGGGCCCAGGAAAGAGCUCCUCGAAAAGCUCUCUCUGGGGCAGUGGCCUGGUCAUGGGGCGUGGGGUGGGGUUGUGAAUCGCGGAGGGGCUUGGGGAAUCAAAGAGAAGUUAUUUGGGGCAACAAGGGCAAGAAAGGGAAGGGGAUGAGGUCCAAGGCAAUGGGGAAGGAUGUCGGGGAGCAAGGAGACCAUGAAGGGGCUAGGAAGGGGGGCUUUGAAGUACUGGGAAAGUUGUGGAGGUACAAAUCAGGUCUAACAACUCCAUCACCUUUAGGGGAACUGGGGGCCAGAAAGAUCCAGAGAAGCCUCUAGAUCCAAGGGAUUAAGAGGCCCCUAGAUAGCACAGUGCAUAAAGGGUCAAACCUGGAAUCAGGAGGACUGGGUUCAAAUUUGGCCUUAGACACUUCUUAGCUGUGUGACCCUGGGCAAGUCACUUAACCCCCAUUUCCUAGCCCUUACCACUCUUCUGCCUUGGAGCCAAUACACAGUAUUGAUUUUAAGAUAGAAGGUAAGGAUUAAAAAAAAAGACGGAAAUAAAAAAGAGCCAAGUAUUGGGUGAGCCAGUAGAAGGGACGGGUGAUUUGGAAGAGGAGUUUUGGGGUAGAGAAGUAAUAGAAGACACGGAUGGAUACCUCCACACCCUGCCCCCAACCCAGCCAACCAAUCUGAGAGCCACAACGUGCCCAAGAUAAGAGGAGUCCUGGAGCUCAAGGUCAAUCCUCUCAAUAGUCCCAGGGAAGAAACAACCCCAGACAGAGGAAGGGGCUUGGGGAUUAGAGGAUUUGGGACUAGGAGAGACCUUAGAGAUUAUUAAGACCAAUGCUCUCCUUUAAGAGAGAAGGGAAGUGACUGAUCCAAGAUGCCAGGAUGUCCCAUUCCUUCAUCCCCUUCCCCAUCCUUUGUUCCAAGGCUCCUUCCUCGACAUCUCAAUCGACUCUCAAGCUUACAUAGACAUAGCAAGUCAGGGGCAGAGCUGGGACUUGAAGCCAGGUCUCCAGACUCCCUGCUCAGGAACCUUCUGCUGUACCACACGGGUCCUCCUCAGCCAACACAACGUGACCUCAACACUUCCUGAAGCCCUCUGAAUCAUUCCCUCCAUCCAGCAUAUGGACUCACCUUCUCUCCGGCCUCCCCCAAUGACCCUGGCUGGCCUGGGUCUCCCUGGAAGAGAAAAUGGCAGAGAAUAAAGGUAAACAGGAAGCUUUCCCUGACUCAGCCCUGAUGGUGACCCCUGCCUCCCUCCAUUCCCAGCUCCCACGGUCGCUCUCCGGGGAAAUUUGCCCAUGUUCCAGAGCAUAAAAAGGAUUUGUCUGUCCUUUAUCCGCCAAUCAGACUGAGCUUCUGAGGGUUCCCUGCCUCUCUCAGCUAAAAUGCUUUACCACCUCUAGAACCUAGCAAAGAGAUCUGCAAACACCACAGUCGUCCCAGAGCCCCCACCUACCUGGACACCUGGCUCCCCCUUCUUGCCUGGCAGCCCUGCCCCUCCUCCUGUAACAGACCCAGGCUUCCCCUGCAGGAGCAAGCAAGCAGCUCUCUGGUCCUCUGUGGACCCUACACAGGAGGAUUCCCCCCUCUGCCAUCUGCCAAACACACAUGCCACAUCCUUCCCUGUGGGCUACUCUACCCAGCAGGAAUGCAAGAAAUUGGAACCAACCCCACCACCUCCCGGGGAGAGCCAUGGGAGUCUGCAGGACCAAGGACCACCGCCAUCCCUCCACUUUGCCCCAGGCACCAAAAGUCCUCAUCCUGGCACCAUGUAAAAGGGAACUUUAAUGGACACGAGAUCUACUCACUGUCACGCCAGGACUUCCAGGGUUCCCAGGGCUGCCUGGUCGCCCAUCCACGCCGGGGAAGCCCUUUAAGAAACAAAAAGUUCAGGGACCAAUGUGAGAGGAAAUGGUCCAGAGUUAAAACUAGAACACAGAGCAUUAUAGAGAGGGCUGAGGAUUGCCCACCCUACCUUCUCCUGAGGACUCAGAAACGGUUUUUCUUUAAUAUAUUCUAACAUUCAUAACUUAUAUUCGUCUAAUAAAAACAAUCAUAAAA